CUACGGGACGCUCCCGUGGGGAAUAUUGCACCAUUUCUGCCCCUCUUCUGCCGCAACGCCGCGUGGAGGCCUACACUUUUCGGAGCGUAAACUCCUUUUCCCCCCGAAGAAGAUGCGGGUACUCUAUUAAUACGCUCCUUCUCAACUCCGUUCCCUCCUCCUCUUUCCUCCUUCGUUCGCCCGCGUUACUCGGAAUCACUGGGCGUAAAGAGCGUGUAGGCGGAUUAAAAAGUCAGAAGUGAAAUCCUAUAGCUUAACUAUAGAACUGCUUCUGAAACUCUUAAUCUAGAAUAUGGGAGAGGUAGAUGGAAUUUCUGGUGUAGGGGUAAAAUCCGUAGAGAUCAGAAGGAAUACCGAUUUCGAAGGCGAUCUACUAGAACAUUAUUGACGCUGAGACGCGAAAGCGUGGGGAGCAAACAGGAUUAGAUACCCGGGUAGUC
rnacentral:rRNA from 1 species